UGGGGAAUAUUGCACAAUGGGCGCAAGCCUGAUGCAGCCAUGCCGCGUGUAUGAAGAAGGCCUUCGGGUUGUAAAGUACUUUCAGCGAGGAGGAAGGCGGUAAGGUUAAUAACCUUAUCGAUUGACGUUACUCGCAGAAGAAGCACCGGCUAACUCCGUGCCAGCAGCCGCGGUAAUACGGAGGGUGCAAGCGUUAAUCGGAAUUACUGGGCGUAAAGCGCACGCAGGCGGUCUGUCAAGUCGGAUGUGAAAUCCCUGGGCUCAACCUGGGAACUGCAUUCGAAACUGGCAGGCUAGAGUCUUGUAGAGGGGGGUAGAAUUCCAGGUGUAGCGGUGAAAUGCGUAGAGAUCUGGAGGAAUACCGGUGGCGAAGGCGGCCCCUGGACAAAGACUGACGCUCAGGUGCGAAAGCGUGGGGAGCAAACA
rnacentral:rRNA from 1 species